rnacentral:rRNA from 1 species
CCUACGGGGUGCAGCAGUGGGGAAUAUUGCACAAUGGGGGAAACCCUGAUGCAGCGACGCCGCGUGAGCGAGGAAGUAUUUCGGUAUGUAAAGCUCUAUCAGCAGGGACGAAAAAAGACGGUACCUGACCAAGAAGCCCCGACUAACUACGUGCCAGCAGCCGCGGUAAUACGUAGGGGGCAAGCGUUAUCCGGAUUUACUGGGUGUAAAGGGAGCGUAGGCGGUAAGGCAAGCCAGAAGUGAAAGGGCAGGGCGGAACCCUGUACAUGCUUUUGAAACUGGGGUGCUAGAGUGCAGGAGAGGUAAGUGGAAUUCCUGGUGUAGCGGUGAAAUGCGUAGAUAUUGGGAGGAACACCAGUGGCGAAGGCGGCUUACUGGACUGUAACUGACGUUGAGGCUCGAAAGCGUGGGGAGCAAACAGGAUUAGAUACCCCAGUAGUC